rnacentral:rRNA from 1 species
AUUGAACGCUGGCGGCAUGCCUUACACAUGCAAGUCGAACGGUAACAGGUCUUCGGAUGCUGACGAGUGGCGAAAGGGUGAGUAAUACAUCGGAACGUGCCUAGUAGUGGGGGAUAACUACUCGAAAGAGUGGCUAAUACCGCAUGAGAUCUACGGAUGAAAGCAGGGGAUCGCAAGACCUUGUGCUACUAGAGCGGCCGAUGGCAGAUUAGGUAGUUGGUGGGAUAAAAGCUUACCAAGCCGACGAUCUGUAGCUGGUCUGAGAGGACGAUCAGCCACACUGGGACUGAGACACGGCCCAGACUCCUACGGGAGGCAGCAGUGGGGAAUUUUGGACAAUGGGCGCAAGCCUGAUCCAGCAAUGCCGCGUGCAGGAUGAAGGCCUUCGGGUUGUAAACUGCUUUUGUACGGAACGAAAAGCCCUGGGUUAAUACCCUGGGGUCAUGACGGUACCGUAAGAAUAAGCACCGGCUAACUACGUGCCAGCAGCCGCGGUAAUAC